AAGAGUUUGAUCAUGGGCUCAGGAUAAACGCUGGCGGCGUGCAUAACACAUGCAAGUCGAACGAUGAAGCUUAACUGAUUUCUUCGGAAUGAUUUUAAGUGGAUUAGUGGCGGACGGGUGAGUAACGCGUGAGUAACCUGCCUUGCACAAGGGGAUAGCCGUUGGAAACGACGAAUAAUACCCUAUGAUAUAAACUCUUCGCAUGAAGAGCUUAUCAAAGAUUUAUCGGUGUAAGAUGGACUCGCGUCUGAUUAGCUAGUUGGUGGGAUAAAAGCCUACCAAGGCAACGAUCAGUAGCCGGCUUGAGAGAGUGUACGGCCACAUUGGGACUGAGACACGGCCCAGACUCCUACGGGAGGCAGCAGUGGGGAAUUUUGCACAAUGGGGGAAACCCUGAUGCAGCGACGCCGCGUGAUUUAGAAGGCCUUCGGGUUGUAAAAAUCUUUUGUAUGGGAAGAAAAUGACAGUACCAUACGAAUAAGGACCGGCUAAUUACGUGCCAGCAGCCGCGGUAAUACGUAAGGUCCGAGCGUUGUCCGGAAUCAUUGGGCGUAAAGGGUACGUAGGCGGAUAAGCAAGUUAGAAGUGAAAUCCUAUAGCUCAACUAUAGUAAGCUUUUAAACUGCUCAUCUUGAGGUAUGGAAGGGGAAAGUGGAAUUCCUAUUGUACGGUGAAAUGCGCAGAUAUUAGGAGGAAUACCGGGUGGGCGAAGGCGACUUUCUGGCCCAUAACUGACGCUGAAGGUACGAAA
rnacentral:rRNA from 1 species